CGAACGGCAGCACGGGGAGCAACCCUGGUGGCGAGUGGCGAACGGGUGAGUAAUACAUCGGAACGUGUCCUGUAGUGGGGGAUAGCCCGGCGAAAGCCGGAUUAAUACCGCAUACGCUCUACGGAGGAAAGGGGGGGAUCUUAGGACCUCUCGCUACAGGGGCGGCCGAUGGCAGAUUAGCUAGUUGGUGGGGUAAAGGCCUACCAAGGCGACGAUCUGUAGCUGGUCUGAGAGGACGACCAGCCACACUGGGACUGAGACACGGCCCAGACUCCUACGGGAGGCAGCAGUGGGGAAUUUUGGACAAUGGGCGCAAGCCUGAUCCAGCAAUGCCGCGUGUGUGAAGAAGGCCUUCGGGUUGUAAAGCACUUUUGUCCGGAAAGAAAACCUCUGGGUUAAUACCCCGGGGGGAUGACGGUACCGGAAGAAUAAGCACCGGCUAACUACGUGCCAGCAGCCGCGGUAAUACGUAGGGUGCAAGCGUUAAUCGGAAUUACUGGGCGUAAAGCGUGCGCAGGCGGUCCGCUAAGACAGAUGUGAAAUCCCCGGGCUUAACCUGGGAACUGCAUUUGUGACUGGCGGGCUAGAGUAUGGCAGAGGGGGGUAGAAUUCCACGUGUAGCAGUGAAAUGCGUAGAGAUGUGGAGGAAUACCGAUGGCGAAGGCAGCCCCCUGGGCCAAUACUGACGCUCAUGCACGAAAGCGUGGGGAGCAAACAGGAUUAGAUACCCUGGUAGUCCACGCCCUAAACGAUGUCAACUAGUUGUUGGGGAUUCAUUUCCUUAGUAACGUAGCUAACGCGUGAAGUUGACCGCCUGGGGAGUACGGUCGCAGA
rnacentral:rRNA from 1 species